GCAAUCCACAGCAUGGACUCCAGGUCGAGAAGACUCAGGUGGAGAAUGGAGUGGGAAAGCUGAUGCAAGAGAUCCAGAAAGUGCUAGGUAAAUGGAUCCUGCUGCAGCACAACCUGGGAGAACUUAUAGGGAUCUGUGAGGAAGCAGAACAAGUCAUCAGAGACCUCCAGACCCAGAAGCAACAGGCUUCAUAGGAGAGGUCAGUGAGGGCAGGGGAAACUGCUUCCAAGGAGGAGAGCCUACUACAAAUGUCAAACGAUUGAUUCUCUUGUCACCAUGUUGGAUGAAACCUCAGUGCAAAUUUGCCAGCAG
rnacentral:lncRNA from 1 species